GACGAAGGUGGCAAGCGUUGUUCGGUAUCACUGGGCUUAAAGGGUGUGUAGGCGGAGAGGUAAGCGUCCUGUGAAAGCCCCCGGCUUAACCGGGGAAUUGCUUGACGUACUGCCUUUCUUGAGGCGAGCAGGGGUGCACGGAACUCUUGGUGGAGCGGUGGAAUGCGUAGAUAUCAAGAGGAACGCCGGUGGAGAAAUCGGUGCACUGGGCUUGUGCUGACGCUGAGACACGAAAGCGUGGGGAGCGAACGGGAUUAGAUACCCCCGUA
rnacentral:rRNA from 1 species